rnacentral:snoRNA from 1 species
GUGCUGUGAUCUGAUGCCUGUGCCGGUGCCUUCUCUGGCACGGGUUCUUUCCCACAGCAAGAU